UAUGAAAGUGAGGAAAGUAGAGUAUCGUUGUCCAUACAUAACGUUGACUGAUGCAAGCCCCGAUGGUACGUACAUGUAUUACCUGGAUCGUAUAGAAAAUGAUUAAGAUGUUCAGUGUAUGUUUUCGGCACAUAGUGGUGAAGUUAAUAGAGGAGUUGAAGGUCCACUUGUGUUGGUUGUUGUUGUUGAUUAGUUUUUUAAUUACCAGUUGUGUUGGUUGUUGUUGUUGUUGUUUAGUUAAUGUGGUCGUACUUUGUAACCAUAAGCCUUUGAUUAUGAAAUGUAUUUCAAAAUUGUUUGUUCCCAAAAGACAUUAGAAAUACAUAAUGGUUUAUAUAUAUUACGCGCAUAGUAGUUAAUAAUUAAAAAAAACAUAAUCAUCUGGACGAAUAUUUAAAAUAACAACAUAAUCAUCUGGAUGGUCGCUGGGACGGUCCUGCAACAUUAGGACAUUUCCU
rnacentral:lncRNA from 1 species